rnacentral:rRNA from 1 species
UACGAAGGGGGCUAGCGUUGCUCGGAUUGACUGGGCGUAAAGGGCGCGUAGGCGGUUUGUACAGUCAGACGUGAAAUUCCUGGGCUCAACCUGGGGGCUGCGUUUGAUACGUGCAGACUUGAGUUCGGAAGAGGGUCGUGGAAUUCCCAGUGUAGAGGUGAAAUUCGUAGAUAUUGGGAAGAACACCGGUGGCGAAGGCGGCGACCUGGACAACACCUGACACUGAGGCACGAAAGCUAGGGGAGCAAACAGG